UACGUAGGUGGCGAGCGUUGUCCGGAUUUACUGGGCGUAAAGGGAGCGUAGGCGGACUUUUAAGUGAGAUGUGAAAUACCCGGGCUCAACUUGGGUGCUGCAUUUCAAACUGGAAGUCUAGAGUGCAGGAGAGGAGAAUGGAAUUCCUAGUGUAGCGGUGAAAUGCGUAGAUAUUAGGAAGAACACCAGUGGCGAAGGCGAUUCUCUGGACUGUAACUGACGCUGAGGCUCGAAAGCGUGGGAGCAAACAGGAUUAGAUACCCGGUACGGU
rnacentral:rRNA from 1 species